GACGAACGCUGGCGGCGUGCUUAACACAUGCAAGUCGAACGAUGAACCAGAGCUUGCUCUGGGGAAUAGUGGCGAACGGGUGAGUAACACGUGGGCAACCUGCCCCAGACACCGGGAUAACCAUUCGAAAGGAUGGCUAAUACCGGAUAUGACCAAUUCAGGCAUCUGAUGGUGGUGGAAAGGAUUCUGGUGUGGGAUGGGCCCGCGGCCUAUCAGCUUGUUGGUGGGGUAAUGGCCUACCAAGGCGACGACGGGUAGCCGGCCUGAGAGGGCGACCGGCCACACUGGGACUGAGACACGGCCCAGACUCCUACGGGAGGCAGCAGUGGGGAAUAUUGCUCAAUGGGCGAAAGCCUGACGCAGCGACGCCGCGUGAGGGACGAAGGUCUUCGGAUUGUAAACCUCUUUCAGCAGGGAUGAAGCGAAAGUGACAGUACCUGCAGAAGAAGCACCGGCUAACUACGUGCCAGCCGCCGCCGUAAGAC
rnacentral:rRNA from 1 species